rnacentral:rRNA from 1 species
CCCUUAGAUGUUCUGGGCCGCACACGCGCUACACUGAAGGAGGCAGCGUGUACUCCUGGAUCGAAAGAUUUGGGUAACCCGCGAAUCUCCUUCGUGCUAGGGAUUGAGGUUUGCAAUUAUCCUUCAUGAACGAGGAAUUCCCAGUAAGUGCAAGUCAUAAGCUUGCGCUGACUACGUCCCUGCCCUUUGUACACACCGCCCGUCGCUACUACCGAUUGAAUGAUUUAGUGAGGACUUCGGACUGGGACCGAUGCGGCUUUCGGGCUGCGUCGGUAUUCUGGAAAUAUGUCCAAACUGUAUCAUUUAGAGGAAGUAAAAGUCGUAACA